CCUACGGGGGGCUGCAGUGGGGAAUAUUGGACAAUGGGGGGAACCCUGAUCCAGCCAUGCCGCGUGUGUGAAGAAGGCCCUCGGGUUGUAAAGCACUUUCAGUGAGGAAGAACGCCUGGUGGUUAAUACCCAUCAGGAAAGACAUCACUCACAGAAGAAGCACCGGCUAACUCCGUGCCAGCAGCCGCGGUAAUACGGAGGGUGCGAGCGUUAAUCGGAAUUACUGGGCGUAAAGCGCGCGUAGGUGGCUUGAUAAGCCGGUUGUGAAAGCCCCGGGCUCAACCUGGGAACGGCAUCCGGAACUGUCAAGCUAGAGUGCAGGAGAGGAAGGUAGAAUUCCCGGUGUAGCGGUGGAAUGCGUAGAGAUCGGGAGGAAUACCAGUGGCGAAGGCGGCCUUCUGGACUGACACUGACACUGAGGUGCGAAAGCGUGGGUAGCAAACAGGAUUAGAUACCCUUGUAGUC
rnacentral:rRNA from 1 species